GAGGAGGAAGAGGAGGAAGAGAGGCUGUGUCAGGUGGAAACGUGGACCUCUAUGGAUAUCAUCAUCGCCCUCCACCGGUUCUCCACCUCAGCACCAACUGCGCCUCCCGGCCGGUGUCCCCAGCUGCUCCCCUUUAUUCCCACGCUGCAUCCUCCCCAUCCUCCUGCGGAUGAAGCGCUUCCCGGCGUAGCGGACACCGAUCGAGGGAAGACCCUGCUGGAAUAACAGCCUCCCUCCAUUCAUAGCCGUUCCGCUUAUCGAUCCAACCGGCCGCGUCUUUAGAGGAGGACACAUCCAAGCAACAAUCUGAGAGUGACCCUUCAGGGUGAAGUGCGCGAUGGCUAAUGCCUCUCCAGACCUGGACAAUGCAGAAGCUCAGCGCCAGCUCAAUAACAACAACCGACCAAUCAGCUCUGGGUUCUGGGAGACUGAGUGUACAAGCUCCAAAUUGUUUGAGUGUUCCCGCAUCAAGGCUCUGGCAGAUGAAAGAGAUGCAGUGCAGAAAAAAACCUUCACAAAGUGGGUCAACUCCCACCUAGCCAGAGUGUCCUGUCGAAUAUCUGACCUCUACAACGACCUGAGGGAUGGCUAUAUGCUCACCAGACUGCUGGAGGUUCUUAGUGGGGAGCUCCUGCCGAGACCGACUAGGGGUCGUAUGCGGAUCCACUGCCUGGAAAAUGUCGACAAAGCGUUGCAGUUCCUGAAGGAGCAGAGGGUUCAUUUAGAAAAUGUUGGUUCCCAUGACAUAGUAGAUGGAAACCAUCGCCUCACGCUGGGCCUUAUCUGGACUAUCAUCCUCCGUUUUCAGAUCCAGGUGAUCAAAAUAAACACUGCAGACAACAGAGAAACCCGCUCGGCCAAAGACGCUCUGCUGCUUUGGUGCCAGAUGAAGACUGCAGGAUACCCUGAGGUGAACAUUCAGAAUUUCACCACCUGCUGGAGAGAUGGCCUCGCCUUCAACGCCCUCAUACACAGACACAGACCUGACCUAAUAGAGUUCCAUAAGCUGACGCGCUCCAAUGCAACCCACAACCUGCAGCAAGCCUUUAACGUCGCCGAGAACCACCUGGGUCUUACCAAACUCCUGGACCCUGAGGAUGUGAACACAGAGAACCCAGAUGAAAAGUCCAUCAUUACGUAUGUGGUCUCCUACUACCACUACUUCUCCAAGAUGAAGGCUCUUAUUGUGGAGGGGAAGAGGGUUGGCAAGGUAUUGGACAACUGCAUCGAGACGGAAUCGAUCGUGAACCGAUAUGACGCUCUGGCCUCAGACCUGCUGGACUGGAUAGAGAAGACCAUUGCCAUUAUCAGCAACCAGAAAUUUGCCAACUCGCUGACUGGAGUUCAGCAGCAGCUGCAGGCUUUCACAACCUACUGCACUAUAGAGAAGCCCAUCAAGUUUCAGGAGAAAGGAAAUCUUGAGGUCCUUCUGUUCACCAUCCAAAGCAAACUCAGAGCCAAUAACCAGAAACCCUACGUGCCUCAUGACGGGAAGCUGAUCUCAGACAUAAACAAGGCCUGGGAGAGACUGGAGAAGGCGGAGCAUGAGAGAGGCGUAGCUCUACGCAAAGAGCUGAUUCGUCAGGAGAAGCUGGAGCUUUUGGCUCAGCGUUUUGACCACAAAACAACCAUGAGGCAAGCGUGGCUCAACGAGAACCAGAGACUCGUGUCGCAGGAUAAUUUUGGCUACGAUCUGCCUGCAGUCGAGGCUGCGAUGAAGAAACACGAGGCCAUCGAGGCGGACAUAGCCUCGUACGAAGAAAGGAUCGGAGUGGUUAUUGAGCUCUCCUCAGAGAUGGAAAAGGAAGGAUACUACGACAUCCGACGCAUCCUGGCACGCAAGGAGAACAUCCUGGGCCAGUGGAGUCUCCUAAAGGAGCUGGUGGCUGGAAGGAGGACCCGUCUGGAGAAGAACCUGGCUUUGCAGAAGACGUUUCAGGACAUGGUCUACAUGAUCGACUGGAUGGAGGAAACGCAGGCUCAGCUGCUGUCAAAGGACUUUGGAAAACAUCUUCUGGAGGUAGACGACUUGCUGCAGAAGCACAGCCUGCAGGAAGCUGAUAUUUCAGUGCAGGCUGAGAGAGUGGAGAUGCUCAAUGCUGCUGCCCUCAAAUUCACCACAAUAGAAGGCUACCAGCCAUGUGACCCACAGGUGAUCUGUAACCGUGUGAACCAUGUCUCUACCUGUGUGGAAGAACUGAAACAGCUGGCGGCUAAACGGCGGGCUGAGCUUGAGGAGUCGAGACAGCUGUGGGCCUUUUUUCAGGAGCUGGAGGAGUCGGAGGCCUGGAUUCGGGAGAAAAGCUCCAUCCUGGCCUCUCAGGGAUAUGGGAAAGAUCUGAGCAGUGUGCUGAGGUUACUUCAGAAACACAAGACUCUAGCCGGGGAGCUGCUGGCUCAUCGCUCUCUGCUGCAGAACACCAUAAAACAAGGAAAGCAGAUUCUAAGUGAGAAGAGCUUUGGCACCACUGGGAUCCAGGAGCGCAUCAUGGAGGUAAAAGACGUGUGGAAAAGGCUGGAGGACCAGGCUGCGCAGCAUCUCAACCACUUGCAGGAAGCGCUCAAUUUCUUCCAGUUCUCCACGGAGACAGACGACCUGGCGGCCUGGCUGCAGGACGCCUACCGUCUUGUCUCCAGCGAGGACUUUGGUCACGAUGAGUACUCCACUCAGUCUUUGCUGAAGAAACACAAAGGGGUCACAGAGGCGAUCGAUAAACACAGACUACAUGUCGUUGCGCUGCGGAAACACAUGAUGGUGCUGCCUUUGCAAUACCAAGAACAGGAGGAGGUGCAGGUGCGUUUGGGCGACGUGGAGCAGCUGUAUACCGAGGUUGCUGAAGUUGCCGUGCUCCGGCAGCAAUGGCUUCACGAUGCGCUGGCUGUGUACCGCAUGUUCAGCGAGGUCAAUGCCUGUGAGCUCUGGAUCGAUGAGAAGGAGCAGUGGCUGGAGAAGAUGGAAAUCCCUGAAAAGCUGGAGGACGUGGAAGUGGUGGCACACAGGUUUGAAAGCUUGGACCAGGAGAUGAACAGCCUGAUGGGACGGAUCCUGGAUGUUAAUCAGAUAGUACAGCAGCUCCUGGAUGGAGGUCAUCCUUCUUCUGCGGAGGUUAGAGGUUGUCAGGAUCAUCUCAACUCCAGGUGGAACAGCAUCGUAGAGCUGGUGGAGCAGAAGAAAGACCAGCUGAACUCAAUGUUACGGCUGCAGAAUUACCUACUGGAGUGUGCUGAGAUCAAAUCCCAGAUCCAGGACAAGAGGAAAGCCAUUGAUGCCACACAGUACAUGGGCAGCGAUUUGGGAGGGGUCCUUGCUCUGCAGAGACGCCUUUCUACCAUGGAGGGAGCCCUGUCUGUCUUGGAGCCCAAACUGCUACAUCUACAGGAGGAAGCAGAGUAUCUGGCCACUGCUCAUCCAAGUCGAACCAUGGAAAUCCUUGUGCCGUUCGAUGGCAUCAGCGUGGAAUGGGAGGAGCUUAAGAGGACCCUGCAGGGAUGUGAAGACUCACUGAUGGUGGCUAGCAGGCUCCAGAGCUUCAUACAGGAUCUGGACUCCUUCCUAACCUGGCUGGUCCAGACCCAGACGGCUGCUGCGUCUGAUCAACUUCCCAAUGAUUUGGAAGAGGCAGAGAAACUCAUCAACAAACAUGCUGCUCUCAAAGAGGAGAUCGGACGGUAUGAGGAAGACUAUGAGCGUCUCCAAGCCAUGAAUGAGCUUCUAGAGUCAGAAGAUGCACCUCUGCCUCAGGCGGCCCUGCAGCAGUGGCUCCAGAAGCUUGAUGUUGGCUGGAACAAGCUCCUCGAAAUGUGGGAGAGCAGGAGGGAAGUUCUGGUCCAAGCUCAUAUUUUUCACCUGUUCCUACGAGAUGUCAAACAAGCAGAGUCCUUCUUAAACAACCAGGAAUCGGCUCUCGCUCACGUGGAGCUUCCCACCACCGUAGAAACAGUCGAAGGUGCUAUAAAGAAACACAAGGACUUUACCACCACUAUGGAGCUGAACCUGCACAGGAUCAAAGCUGUGAUUGAGGCAGGAGAAAGCCUGAUCAGUCAGAACAACAUCUACUCCGAGCGCAUCAGGGAACGUAUCGACACCCUCGCCAGCAGGGGAAACAAGAACAGGGAGCUUGCCCAGCGGUGGCUGGAAAAACUGAAUGACCAAUGGGAACUUCAAAGAUUUCUCCAAGACUGUCAUGAGCUGGGGGACUGGGUGUACGAGAAGAUGCUGAUGGCGAGGGACAGCAGUCGCGACGAGACCCAAAAGCUUCAUAAGAAAUGGCAGAAGCACCAGGCUUUUAUGGCCGAGCUGGCCCAGAACAAGGAAUGGCUGGAUAAGAUCGAAAAGGAAGGCAAGCAGCUGAUUAAGGAGAAGCCGGAGCUGAGCCCCGUGGUCCGGAAGAAGCUGGAGGAGAUCAGGGAUUGCUGGCUAGAUUUGGAGAGCACCACCCAGGCCAAAGCCCGCCAGCUCUUCGAGGCCAACAAGGCGGACCUGCUGGUGCAGAGUUAUGAAAGCCUCGACCAGAGGCUGGGCCAGCUGGAGUGUCAGCUGUCCUACGUGGACCAGGGACAGGACCUCACCACCGUCAACAAACAGCUCAAGAAACUCCAUACCAUGGAGUCCCAGAUGGAGCAGUGGUAUAAGGAGGUGGGUCAGCUGCAGGUUCAGGCGGCUUCCAUCCCGCAGCAGACACAGAUACAAGGCACGGUGGUGGAGCGACAAUCCGCUGUAGAGACCAGGAUGGCCCGACUGAUCGAGCCAUUGAAGGAGAGACGGAGGCUUCUUCUGGCAUCUAAGGACGUUCAUCAAGUCGGGCGAGACCUGGAGGAUGAGAUUUUAUGGGUCCAGGAGCGCCUCCCUCUGGCCAUGUCCCAGGAACACGGCUCAUCGCUUCAAGCCGUCCAGCAGCUCAUGAAGAAGAACCAGACACUUCAAAGAGAGCUGGAGGGACACAGGAGCAGAAUCGAAGAUGUCCUGGAGAGGGCAGGGAUCAUUGCCUCCAUUAGGAGCCCAGAAGCUGAUUGCGUCAGAGCAGGUCAUGACCAGCUUGCCCAGCUGUGGGCUCUGCUGUGGGCUGAGACAGAGAGGAGGCAGCUGGUCCUGGACGCCAUGUAUCAAGCCCAGCAGUAUUACUUCGACACAGCUGAGGUGGAGGCCUGGUUAAGCGAGCAGGAGCUGCACAUGAUGAAUGAGGAGAAGGGAAAGGAUGAGCCGAGCACGCUGCAGUUGCUGAAGAAACAUUUGCUCCUGGAGCAAACCAUCGAGGACUACGCUGAGACCAUCGGCCUGCUGUCACAGCAGUGUCGACAGCUGCUGGAGAUGGGACAUCCAGACAGCGAACAGAUCAGCAAGCGUCAGUCGCAAAUAGACCGACUGUACGUGUCCCUGAAGGACCUGGUGGAGGAGAGAAAGAGCCGCCUGGAGCAGCAGUACUGGCUGUAUCAGCUCAACAGGGAGGUGGACGAGCUGGAGCAGUGGAUCGCCCAGAGGGAAGUGGUCGCCAGCUCGCCAGAACUGGGCCAAGACUUUGAGCAUGUCUCCGUCCUCCAAGAAAAGUUUACAGAGUUUGCCUCAGAGACGGGAAGUGUGGGGCAGGAACGUGUGACGGCCGUCAACCAGAUGGUGGACGAGCUUAUAGACUACGGUCACUCUGAGGCCGCCACCAUCGCUGAAUGGAAGGACGGGGUUAAUGAAGCCUGGGCCGACCUGCUGGAGCUGAUGGAGACCAGAGCGCAGAUGCUCGCUGCGUCACACCAGCUGCAUAAGUUCUUCUCAGACUGCAAAGAGAUUUUGGCUCAGAUAGAAGACAAGCACCGCAGACUACCAGAAGUUCGGGCUCGGCAGGGGAGCACCUCCAACACCAGCACCCUGCAGAGACUCCUGCAAAGCUUCGAACAGGACAUCCAGCUGCUGGUCACUCAGGUGCGUCAGCUGCAGGAGAGUGCGGCCCAGCUGAGAACGGUGUAUGCAGGAGAGAAGGCCGAAGCCAUCGCCUGUCGGGAGCACGAAGUGAUGCUGUGCUGGAAGGAGCUGUUGACAUCAUGCGAAGAGUGUCGACUGCAGAUCACCACGGAGACGGACAAGCUGAGGUUCUUCAGCAUGGUCCGGGAUCAGAUCAUGUGGAUGGAGUCAAUCAUCUGCCAGAUAGGCACAGGAGAAAAGCCAAGGGAUGUGUCAUCGGUGGAGGUGCUGAUGAAUUAUCACCAAAGCCUUAAGAGCGAAGUGGAGGCCCGCAGCCAGAGCACCCUGGAGUGUAUCGAAAUGGGAAAAAUGCUGCUGGCUGCUAGAAACCCUGCUGCCGAGGAGAUCAAAGAAAAGCUGGAAAAGGUGAUUUCCAAGCAGCGGGAGCUUUUGGAGAAGUGGGACAAGCACUGGGAGGUUCUACAGCAAUUGUUGGAGGUCCAUCAGUUUGCCCAGGAGGCGAUGGUGGCGGAGGCCUGGCUGACCGCUCAGGAGCCGCUGAUCAAUAGCAAGGAGCUGGGAGGGAGCGUGGACGAGGUGGAGCAGCUCAUACGUCGACAUGAAGCCUUUAGGAAAGCAGCCGCCACCUGGGAGGAGAGAUUCAGCUCCCUGCGACGCCUCACUACGGUGGAAAAGCUGAAAGCAGAACAGAGCAAAUUGCCCCCAACACCCCUUCUGGGGCGUAAAGUCUUCCUGGACCCACAAGAUGCAUCAUCUGUUCCAACAACCCUCCCCCGCCUUCCAGUCUCCCCCGUCAUGAGACAGACCAUCUAUGAGCAGAAUGAGGCCAGCUCUCCUCCAUCUCCUUCGCCUGCCACCCCAACGCCCUCCCCAUCAGCUGCGGCUCGCCGGCUGGGGUCCACGGUCGCCAACUACACCCCCGUGAUGAACGGAUCCAGCUACAGACACACCCUGGAGGCGCGGCACGGUGGAGUGGUGGGUGUGGCAGCUGGACUAGGUCAGCCAGCUCCCUCGUCGAUUGCAUCUGUUGCCACGGCGGCAAUGUUGGUGUCGGCAAAUCAGAUGCGAGAAAGUACCAGCACUGCAAAAGAUCAGGCCACCAAAACCAUGAGUUACUUACAGCCGGGGCAGGCGGGAAAGGAGCUUGAGGUGAAAUCCUUGCCGUAUCUACGGCAACCCAAAAUCAAACACUUGGACGAUGCUGUGACGCCUUUGAUUGUGGCUAGCCGACUGGAGAGAGGCAGAGAGAGGGGUAGAGAACGGGAAAGAGGGGGGGGAAUGGCAACAGAGCGAGCAGAGGUGGCGGUGAUGGCUGAGGUGGUGCUCCAGGAGCCGGGUCGAGAGCGUCUGCACAGCGAGCCCACCCGGGGGCCACGGGGAUCCAGGACCGACCCCCUGGGUCACGCAGAACCCCAGGUCCAGACGUAUCAGCGGCAGCUCUCCAGUGAGCAGCUGAUCCAGGCACGCAGAGAUGAGCUACCUCAGGAGGUGUGGAGAGAACAAGCAGAGAGGAGGCGGACGCUGGAGAGGCAAACCUCCAGUGAGCAGGAGGGCCAUGACGGCCGGCGGAGAGAAAGGGACCGGCACCGAGGGGAGAGACAGGAGUCCAGUGACGACAUGGGCAGAGAACAAUCAGACAGGCGCUCUACAGGAGGAGAGAAGAGAACCACCAUGGCAGAGAUAGUAGAGCAGCUUCAAGAAAGAGAAGCAGCACAGGCUCGUGGCGAGGUUCCCCGCCUGCCCAACGGUAUACCAGAAAAGUCUUCCCGUCUUGACCGGCCCAGAGCCAGGGACAGACCCAAACCAAGACGAAGGCCUCGUCCCAAAGAGCCAGGAGAGACAACGCGGAGGUCCAGAUCUGCUCCAGCUCAGAGCAGCCAGACGGCCCCCCAACCACCAACCCAUACAGCACACCAUGAGGGCUUCCUUUUCCGCAAGCUGGACAUCGAGAGCAUGAAGAAAAGCACCAAUAGGUGGGUCUUCAGAGUCAUAAACAAGAGUAACUAGUGGAGGUUUCAUAGACAGUGGAUGCACCCUGGUGUCAUGAGGAUCCAAAUUAAGGAAUUCUGAUGACUAAAUUAUGAAGUAAUUUCAUAAAAAGUUUCCUCAUUCAUUUUUUUAACCAUCUGGUUGACAAUCAGAAAUAUUGUUACUAUAUUCUUGAAUACAUCCCUGUUGUGUUUAUUGAAUGAUCAAUGGCAACCGGGCGCAAGUUAAGCAUGCAGAGUUACGACUGCAACUGCAUCUGAUUUGUUUGGACGAUGCAUGACGGACACUGACUCAGCUGACAUGUGGUCCUUACAGGCUGCAAGCAAAUCAAGCACGCUGUAGUGCUGGUCAGUUGAUGAUAUUAGCUUUUUACUGUAACCCUAACCGGCUUUCUCUUCUCCACUACAACCAGGCUUCAAACUGGUUUAGUAGAUCCAUGAUAAAGUAGAUAUGCAAGGUUUUUAAUCUGUCUUUCAGUGUUUCUGCCUUUCAGUCCUAAAUAUGCAACUACAGCACCCUCAAAACAUAUCUUAGCCAUGAUUAAGAAAAAUGUGCAAAAACUAUUAAAAUAGUCAAAUCUCUCAUAAGACAUUGUGAGAAUAAUCAGCCCACAGCAUCACAGAUCCUUCACCAUGGCGAACAGCAGGCAUAAGUUGAUUUUUUAGAAAGUCCUCCUUUGUUUGACAUCACAUCCAGAAGCCCUGUCUGUUGCAAAAAAGCAUUAGCUCAGUCUCAUAUUAACAAAAUACACAAUUCAAGUUAAAUUUCCAAUAUUAAACCUCACAUGUUAGUGUUCAUAAAAUUAGGGCAUAAAAUGCUUCUUGUUUACUUUGCUUCCCUCCCAAAUAAACAGUUGUUAUUUUGAUGGUGUCCAACAGUUUUGAAUCAAACUUAACAAACCAAAGAUACCACUGGUGACUGUAGUUCUCUAACCCCUCUUACCAUCCUCCUCUCUCUGCAUGAAAGCAUCAUGGACAUGCAGUAGGCUCUCACCCAACCUUGUUUGGGGCAUUUCUAAUUGUUAGAAAUAUCUAAAUUAUGUCCGACAUGUAAACAUAUUUUGCAAAUAGGUUAUUUCUUUUGCAGUUGUUUUCUGGCCUAUGAACAUUAAUAUCCACCUGUCUACUCUAAUUAAACAAUAUUUUUUAUUGUUUUAUCCAGUUUGAUGGGUGGAUUUUUAAAAUAAAAACUCCUUUUGUCUCAAUUUACUAAAAAUAAAACAACUAAAAGUUUGAAGCACUCAGAUGAGCAAUAAUAAAUUAUAUGAAAAAAACAUUAUUUUUUUUUACCCUUAUUUUAAAUAAAUUGUUUGGAGGAUCAAUAAUUAUUAAAUUGGUGAGUGUAUAAGAAAAAUAAAUACAUAUUAUAUCUGAACAUUAGAUUUUAUGCUCUGCUCUACCUUCUUUAUUUCUUCAGUACGAAAAUUUACUGCUCACCAGGCGUAGUAAUAUUUGCCAAGGGUGCUGUAGUUUUUGUCUUGUAUAUUUUUCUACAAGUAUGUUAAUAUUUAAUACAUCUUCUUUUUAUGUACAAAAUGUGAGGACAACAGUUACAUGAAUUAACAAGAGCCUGAAAAAGCCCCACAGCACGAUAAACCGCCCUUGCAUGAUGCUUACUCUGCUUCCUGAAUCAAAAGCACAGCUGAGGCGGGUGGUUUACUCACAGACUAACUGGCUGGAUGAAGAAUGCUGUGAGAGUGGAUCGAUCUGCUGGCCAUGCACACAAACCCCCACACACACACACAUUUACACCUCCUGACCAUCCACAGGCGACCUCCCUCCUUCCUCCAUAGGGACACCAGGGACAAUGCCUUUCUUUUUCUCUCUCUCUCCACUGCCCCCUCCCCCCGGUGGCUGACCUGAUCACGCACAGCCAAAAGCUCAUCCAGUUCCAGCAGUGGAUGAGACCCACUCAUGCGCCCACUCAAGGCAGUGGAUGAAUGUGAUCAUAUGUACAUGCCCUGUAAUGUACAUAGUAAGGUAAAGCAAAACUGUGAACGGCUUGAAUCCAGUGUGAAGCUGCUAACGGCUCCUCGUGGGGCUCAUUGAAGCCACCCACCGUCAAGGCGAGCAUUGAGAUUCAACCCGUCACUGUUACAUCACCACUCUACAAAUUAUUAUUUUCUUUUUCUGUGCAUAUUAACAUUCUGAUGAAACAAACAAAAGAUUAUUUUUUGGACAAAAUGCUUGUAAAAUAUUUUUUGUGAGAAAAAAGGUAAACAUGGCAGGACAGAAUAAAGAUUUACAAUUAUUUAUCCUCAAGUGUAAAAUAGAAAACAAAUAAAAGACAUUAAAAAAAAGCUCUUUUAGAAAGUAAGUGCACCCUUUUAUUUCAUAGCUCAUACAAAUUCCCAGUAACUGCUAAAACUGCAGAGUUCUCGUCAAAUUACAACAAACCUGAACUUUGACUAGGCCAUUGCAGCACUUUCAUUCCUUUUUAGCUGCUCUGUUGUAGAAUUGCUGCUGCGUUUCUGGGAUCAUAAACCUGUUGAUGAUCCAUUUUGGCCCAAGCUUCAAACCCAUGUUGUCACAUUUGACCUUAGAAAGCUUUGGUAAACAGAAGAACCAAUCAGUGAUGGCAUUGAGCCCAGGUCAUAAUGCAACAAACCCAAGUUAUCAGCUCUUCACAGCUGAUAAACAUGGUUCCUGUUUGUUGCAUCCAAACACCUCUAUUUUGGUCCAUUCUAUUCCAUACUGUAUGUCCAUUGGUUCUAUCGGAUGCUCCUUUGCAUCUCUAAUCUUUCCUACUUGUUCUCUUUAAAACAGAGGCUUUCUAGCUCCUAAAUAAGCCAGUUUUUGUCUAACUGUUCUGUAAUAAGAAGCUAUUUGAGGAUAAUUUUGAUGGAACGUUCAGUGAUUGUAGCAUGAUGGAAGUUUAUUCCAUUUCCCAAAUUAAUGACCGCUUGUCCAAGGUCAUUCCCGAUGUCUUUUCAUCUCAUUUUAUUAUGGUUAUUACACUGAUGAUCAUCAGUUAAUCAACUGCAUUGAAUUAGCAGCACUGGGACGCCUUUUCUUCUGAAGUGCUGUAUAAACUGUGAGGGUGUACUUAGUUUUUUAAAGACUUCUUGUCAGUUUUAGCUUUAUUUUUCAUGAUCAUCAAAUCUUUUAUUAAUUGCAGCCAUACUGUUAUAGAUAUUGGGACCUAGACUGUCACAUAUGUUGUAGGUUUCUGUCCACUUGAUUCUCUGUGACUUAUUUUAAGGUCUUUUCUAUCAGGAUGUUAAGCUGUACACUGAAUCUACAUCAAAUACUGUGCACACGUCUAUGGCACUAAAGACUCUGUGGUUUGGUUACAGAUUUAUAGCGCAUAAUUAUUUCUUUAUAUGUUUAAAAGAGGGCAGCUUUGGAAAUAGUUAUUUAAUCUUGAACAAAAUCCGUGAGGUUCAUUGUCACUUGAAAUGAAUGACUAAAGUUGUGUUUGUUUAUCAAUUUUCUUCAUUUUAUCUUGUCAAACAGACCGACUCUGCUUCUGCAGAUCUUUAUUUAUAGAUCUGGUUGUUUGGCUUUAAUCAGGCGUCUCAUUGGUGGAAUCAGAGCCAAUAUCUGACAUGCCUGAGACCUUUGCACAGUACUUCCCCCUUUUUACUGAUAUGCUUCAUGCAUGUGGUCACUUUAACUGAUGUAUCGUUGCCUUAUUGCAAAAAAUGACAUUUAACCAAACGCUUCUCCUCUUUUUUGUCUCUUUCACGCUGUGCUUCCGGCUGUCCCUCUGUUCUCCUCUAAGUGUAUAUCCUCCUCCCUUCUUGGGGCUGGUCCAUCCCGCCUACCUACCUGUCUGCUCUGGUCAGCAGGUCUUGGGUCAACCUUUACUGCGUGCUGAACAAAGGGGAGC